rnacentral:rRNA from 1 species
UACGUAGGGGGCAAGCGUUGUCCGGAUUUAUUGGGCGUAAAGAGCGUGUAGGCGGCCAGGUAGGUCUGCUGUGAAAACUCGAGGCUUAACCUCGAGCUGUCGGCGGAAACCAUCUGGCUAGAGUCCGGAAGAGGAGAAUGGAAUUCCCGGUGUAGCGGUGAAAUGCGCAGAUAUCGGGAAGAACACCCGUGGCGAAGGCGGUUCUCUGGGACGGUACUGAUGCUGAGACGCGAAAGCGUGGGGAGCGAACAGG